rnacentral:lncRNA from 1 species
UUUGUUGGCUAAUCACUUUAGGGUCAAGAUGUCAUAUAUGUCCAUAAGCCAUAUAUCGAGAAAUUUCAAUCAAUAUCCAUCUCAAAAUCUAUCUUUUUGGAGCUGUCUUGCACCUAUUGGAACUUCCGACACAGUACUGGAACUUCCGAUACCCACUGGAAGUUUCCGAGAAGUCCCAACAGGGGUUCUCUAGAGAAUCUUUUCUCCCGUUGAAACUUCCGAUGGUUCAUUGGAACUUCCGACGGGUACCCAAGGGUUUAAAUACCCCUGAACCACCAGCCCUCAAACCCUAAUGUCUAUUUCUUCCAACCGACACCUCUCCUCCUUCUUCUCUUCACCAUUCGAGGGGAUUUCGAUUUCCAACCGUGUGAACUUGAAGCUAGUGACAUCUUUGGAUUCUCCACUCCUCGGAACCUCCAAUCCACCCUUUGAAUCAUUUGAUCCGCGUGGGAAAUCAUCGAGGUAAAUCAUUCAAAAAUCCCAUUGCCCGAUCUCUCAAUGCCCUAGGAGUUAGAGGUUUUUUUUUCUAGGGAUAGACUCCAGGUUCUUCUUAGAACUCAUGCCUAUGAUAUCUAGUGGAUUGGAUGGUUA